UGAUCUGGCAUUGUUUAGCCAGGUAUCAAGAAAGAUGUUACUGUGCCACCAUGAGGUUACUGUACUCUGGCUUUGUCAUACUGUCAAAGUUUGCCUCUCUUUAAUUGUCAUCAAACCAAGUAACAUACACACGACACAUCUUUGAAUAAAGUGGCGAUGGUUCAGAUCUGUCAAUGUAAGGGACAGCCCGGAGCUUGCUAAAUUUAAUCUGUGUCACGUAGCGCUAGCGUUGAUGCUGACACACCUCCUCACUUGGCAGAUCCUCCCAUCAGACGCCGAAAACCAAUUAUUAAAUACACAAGCAUCCUACCUUUCCAUGCAAUCUAAUAUAAUCCACGGAAGAUAGCAAUGCACGUCAUCUGCUAUAUCCACAACAAUCAAUACAUGUUUGAGCCAUAUUUACGUCUUGCAGGUGUUCAUGUCAGAUCUUACAAAAAUCCAUAAAAGCACUAAGCUAGUUAACGCUAAUGGCUGUACAAAGUAGGCUAACCUAAAUGUUAUCUCAUAAUUAAAAAGCAGUAAUCCAAGUCGAGUUCUUUGACUGUGAAUCUUGAGCAGUUUGGUGGCCCUUAACCCUUAA